GUGAGAAAGUCUCCAUAACGAUUGCUGCGGCAAGAGUUGUGUUCAUUUUGCGAUAAUCGUGCGAGAAUAGUGCAAAUUCAUUCAUCUUGAGCUCAUCGACGACUUGCUCAUCUACAACUUCAGUGGAAAUAUCACUAUGAACCGAAGAACAGAUCGAUACUUUCGCCGGCCAUCAGUGUCUUUAAGUCACCCUUUCAGCAGAGGACAGAGCAUGUUCUAUCGUGUCAUCACGCGGCCGUUGCGCCGUCUCCUCCUCUGUUGUUCCGGCGAGUACGAUGAACCGUACCAGCCCCAGCCCAAAGCCCCGUACCUCACUGAGGACCGGCACCAUCGACACACAG